GACGAACGCUGGCGGCGUGCUUAACACAUGCAAGUCGAACGGAAAGGCCCUGCUUUUGUGGGGUGCUCGAGUGGCGAACGGGUGAGUAACACGUGAGUAACCUGCCCUUGACUUUGGGAUAACUUCAGGAAACUGGGCUAAUACCGGAUAGGAGCUCCUGCUGCAUGGUGGGGGUUGGAAAGUUUCGGCGGUUGGGGAUGGACUCGCGGCUUAUCAGCUUGUUGGUGGGGUAGUGGCUUAUCAAGGCUUUGACGGGUAGCCGGCCUGAGAGGGUGACCGGCCACAUUGGGACUGAGAUACGGCCCAGACUCCUACGGGAGGCAGCAGUGGGGAAUAUUGCACAAUGGGCGGAAGCCUGAUGCAGCAACGCCGCGUGCGGGAUGACGGCCUUCGGGUUGUAAACCGCUUUCGCCUGUGACGAAGCGUGAGUGACGGUAAUGGGUAAAGAAGCACCGGCUAACUACGUG
rnacentral:rRNA from 1 species